rnacentral:rRNA from 1 species
AGCGAACGCUGGCGGCAGGCCUAACACAUGCAAGUCGAACGGAUCCUUCGGGAUUAGUGGCGGACGGGUGAGUAACACGUGGGAACGUGCCCUUUGGUUCGGAACAACUCAGGGAAACUUGAGCUAAUACCGGAUGUGCCCUUCGGGGGAAAGAUUUAUCGCCAUUGGAGCGGCCCGCGUCUGAUUAACUAGUUGGUGAGGUAAAGGCUCACCAAGGCGACGAUCAGUAGCUGGUCUGAGAGGAUGAUUAGCCACAUUGGGACUGAGACACGGCCCAAACUCCUACGGGAGGCAGCAGUGGGGAAUCUUGCGCAAUGGGCGAAAGCCUGACGCAGCCAUGCCGCGUGAAUGAUGAAGGUCUUAGGAUUGUAAAAUUCUUUCACCGGGGACGAUAAUGACGGUACCCGGAGAAGAAGCCCCGGCUAACUUCGUGCCAGCCGCCGCUGUAACAC